UACGUAGGGUGCGAGCGUUGUCCGGAAUUAUUGGGCGUAAAGAGCUCGUAGGCGGUCUGUCGCGUCGAUCGUGAAAACUUGGGGCUUAACCCUGAGCUUGCGGUCGAUACGGGCAUGACUGGAGUUCGGCAGGGGAGACUGGAAUUCCUGGUGUAGCGGUGAAAUGCGCAGAUAUCAGGAGGAACACCGGUGGUGAAGGCGGGUCUCUGGGCCACUACUGACGCUGAGAAGCGAAAGCAUGGGGAGCGAACAGG
rnacentral:rRNA from 1 species